rnacentral:tRNA from 43 species
GGCGGAUGUAGCCAAGUGGAUCAAGGCAGUGGA